rnacentral:rRNA from 1 species
CCCUUAGAUGUCCUGGGCCGCACGCGCGCUACACUGAACGGAUCAGCGCGUUUUCCCUUCCCGAGAGGGACGGGUAACCUGCUGAACCCCGUUCGUGGUAGGGAUCGGAGCUUGCAAUUGUUCUCCGUGAACCAGGAAUUCCCAGUAAGCGCAAGUCAUAAGCUUGCGUUGAUUACGUCCCUGCCCUUUGUACACACCGCCCGUCGCUACUACCGAUUGAGUGAUCCGGUGAAUAAUUCGGACUGCAGCAAUGUUUGGAUCCCGAACGUUGCAGCGGAAAGUUUAGUGAACCUUAUCACUUAGAGGAAGGAGAAGUCGUAACA